rnacentral:rRNA from 1 species
GGGAAUAUUGGACAAUGGGCGCAAGCCUGAUCCAGCAAUGCCGCGUGGGUGAAGAAGGUCCUCGGAUUGUAAAGCCCUUUCGGCGGGGACGAUGGUGACGGUACCCGCAGAAGAAGCCCCGGCUAACUUCGUGCCAGCAGCCGCGGUAAUACGAAGGGGGCUAGCGUUGCUCGGAAUGACUGGGCGUAAAGGGCGCGUAGGCGGCGCGGCCAGUCCGGCGUGAAAGCCCUGGGCUCAACCCGGGGACUGCGCUGGAGACGGCCGCGCUGGAGGUCGGGAGAGGCUCGCGGAAUUCCCAGUGUAGAGGUGAAAUUCGUAGAUAUUGUGAAGAACACCGGUGGCGAAGGCGGCGAGCUGGCCCGCACCUGACGCUGAGGCGCGACAGCGUGGGGAGCAAACAGG